GACAGAGGGUGCAAACGUUGUUCGGAAUUACUGGGCGUAAAGCGCAUGUAGGCGGCAACGCAAGUCGGGCGUGAAAUCCCACGGCUCAACCGUGGAAGUGCACUCGAAACUGCGUAGCUAGAGUCCUGGAGAGGAAGGUGGAAUGCUUGGUGUAGAGGUGAAAUUCGUAGAUAUCAAGCGGAACACCGGUGGCGAAGGCGGCCUUCUGGACAGUGACUGACGCUGAGACGCGAAAGCGUGGGGAGCAAACAGG
rnacentral:rRNA from 1 species